rnacentral:misc_RNA from 1 species
AAUUAGAGAUCACUGACUAUUGAUGUUGAUACUGUUUAACAAAAUGUUUAUUGAGAUUUGCGCAUUAUAACGAGUCAUAAAUUACUAGCUCGAAAAGUUAACAAUCAAAUAUAGGUAUUUACUAGAAUUUGGGGAAGAUUGCAUGACAAUCUAUUUUCUAUACGCAGUUAAAAUAUCUGGAUGCAUUUUGUUAGGAUAUGGAAAUGCGAUUGAGCUUUCUGAGGCCUUAAACAGACAUAACCUUGGUGCUAGAGUUCUUUGAAUUUCAUUUCUUGUUUCUAGAAACUCUUGCUUUUCUCUCGGUUUCCUUUUGUAAAUUAUGAGGCAGACUAUGGUUUAGAAUUCAGAAAUUGGUUUUUGGUUAACUUUUGUGAAUUACAAAUUUUUUUAAACAAUAAAUAUAAAUUACAAUCUUGAAACUUGAUUUCCUAUGUUAUUACGUCAAUUUUCAGCUGAUGCAAGGACUUUA